CUCAGGGAGGUAGUGACAAGAAAUAACAACACUGGAAAUUUUAUUUCUAGUGAUUGGAAUGAUGGGAAUUUAAACCCCUUUCAGAGUAACAAUUGGAGGGCAAGUCUGGUGCCAGCAGCCGCGGUAAUUCCAGCUCCAAUAGCGUAUAUUAAAGUUGUUGCAGUUAAAAAGCUCGUAGUUGGAUGUCUGCUGGAAGCAAUCAGUCCGCCCUAUUUGUAGGGUGUGCACUUGAUGAAUUCUGGCAUCUAUGUCCCGAUAAAAGGACGGGCGUCACAUUAGCUUUUGGGCGAAAGCUCAAGAGCGUGUGCGUCCGUUUAUUGGGAUGAUACUGUUACUUUGAGAAAAUUAGAGUGUUUGAAGCAGGCUAAUUGCCUUGAAUACUGCAGCAUGGAAUAACAAUAUAGGAUUUCGGUUCUAUUUUGUUGGUUUCUAGGACUGAAAUAAUGAUUAAUAGGGACAGUUGGGGGCAUUCGUAUUUAACUGUCAGAGGUGAAAUUCUUAGAUUUGUUAAAGACGAACUACUGCGAAAGCAUUUGCCAAAGAUGUUUUCAUUAAUCAAGAACGAAAGUUAGGGGCUCGAAGACGAUCAGAUACCGUCGUAGUCUUAACCAUAAACUAUGCCGACUAGAGAUAGGAAAAUGUCAUUUUGCUGACUU
rnacentral:rRNA from 1 species